GCUGAGGAGUGGGGUGAGGGGGCAUCAGGAGGGAGCACCAGAGGGGCCCUGGUCUCUCUCCCAGCCAGGCCUCCUGCCGGGACCCCUGCCAACUCCCCCUUUUGAAGCCCCGCCACCUCCCCCCUGCCCCAUGGCUCCAGGCCCGGGAGCCUCCCCUUCACCACUGUCAUGGUUGAAAAGAAGUUGGGGAGGAGACCCCACUGAAGCACAGUCUUCAAAGUGUGUCUGGGAACUCCUGCGGGCCCUCGGGGCCUGGGGAGGCACCCUGAAUCCCCCUGGGCCUCAGUUUCUCUCCAGAAGACAGGCCCAGAACCAAGAGGAACCUUUGAGGAUGGGGGUGGGGUGAGGCAUGUGCGGGCUCCCCUACCCUGCCUGGCAGGCCGUGGGCGUCCUUGGCAGGAGCCAGCCAGUCCGGGCUCCGGAGGAGGAGACCGGAUGGGGGUGGGAAGCAGCCAGCUCUGGAAGAAGGAGCAGAACAGCCUCUGGCUCCCUGGGAAGGGCCUCCAUCCUCCCCACCCAGAGAGGCUGCACUCCGAUGGGCAGUGGCCUCCUGUGAGGAGCCACACUCGCCUCUGAUGGAGGAGGGGAGGAGGCUGUCUUGGGUCAUGGGUGGUCGUCGCCCAAGCCCCCGGCCCACAGGCGCUCUGGUACAGAUCCCUGGCGCUCUCCAAAGGCCUGGGCCUCAGUCCCCACGUCUGACAGCUGAGGAGCGUCUGGUUCCCACCUGCUGGCUGCCUGGGCAGGGUCGGGGCUCUGAGUGCUUGGGUUCACGGGGCUUCAGAGGCUGCCCUUGCCCCCCCAACUUUCACCUCCUUCCCAGGUGGCUAGAGGGGCUGUGGACCCCAGACACUGGAACCCAGGACCUCAAAACCCAGUUCCUGGCAUCCCAGACUUCAGAACCCCAGAGCAGGGAACCCUGGACCCAGAACGUCCGCCAGAGCUGGGCCGCUGGGUGUCACGUGAGCUCUUUCACUGUCUGGCCCUCGGCUUGGAUGCUUUCUUUCAGUCUCCCAGGAUGUGGCCCAAGCAGCAAGGCCCGCUGGAAUGGAGCACCUUCCCACAGAAUCUUGGGCUUCUUCUCUGGAAUCUCCCAGUCUCCACCUCUGGCCUCUGGACCACCAUUCUACUCUCUGUCUCUGUGAAUUUGGCUACACCAGGUCCCUCAAAUAAGCGGAAUCAUGCUGAAUAAUACUCCACUGUAUGGAUAUACCACCUGUCAUUUAUCCUUUCACCCACCCGUGGACACUUGGGUUUUUUCACCCUUUGGCUACUGUGAAUAACGCUGCUGUGAACAUGAGGCACAAACGAGGAAGCUUUUUUGAUGGUAGGGAAUUCACUUUAACCCACAUCGGAGCAAACGAGUGCACCACACGCCCAGCACGAAGACCUGGAGCCGCCGAAGCAAGACGGGUGAUAUAACCACAAACUCUGGAGGCUGACGGUGGAGACGGUGUGCUAUCGGGAAGUCAGCCCCCGCUGCGGGCACGGCUUGGGUUUGAGAAAAUGUGAGCUGGUUAAGCGGAGGUGAGCCUGGGCCUCUCUUCCUGCCUCUCCCUCUCCCAUGCCCUCAGCCUCCGGCCCUGCUUGCUCUCCUCUCUCUCCUCACCUUAACCCCGACUUAGUGCACCCGGAUGCCACCCAAGGCCCCACAUGUCCCUCUCCGACCGUUUUGGCGCCAGAUCCCAGGGAGGCAUCUGAUUGGCUCUGCUCUCACCAGGCUACCCCUGAUAGGUCACUGGCCAGCCUAUGGAUGGGCUCUCCUUGGUCAAGUGUCCAUUCCUGGUCCAAUCACCCGGGGAGAGCAGUCUCGCACGUGUUGGGGGUGGGCUGCAGUUCUCCCAGUGGUCCGCUCUCAGAUUCCCCGCUCCUGUGGCGGGCGUAGGGGGUGGCGUGGGCAGGGCAUGUUCAGGUUUAACAGCGCCCUUGGUAGUCUGAGGGGGGCUGCAAGGAGCGGAUGUGGAGGACCCUAGGCAGGCCAGAGGGUCUGAGCUGACUGCCCUGUGAACCCCAAGCCUGACAAUAACCAAGGGAGGGGGCGGAGCGGGGGAGCAGUCCUGCCCCUGGGCCGAGACUCGCCUGCGCCCCUUCUCUUAAGGAGGCACCUGGGUCUUGGUGUUUGGAGAGUUGGUCGGUGCAGGGUGUGUGUGUGGCGGGGGGAGCCAGUGCCCCUUUCUCACUCAGGGAGCCCCACAGUGCGGGCUUCAGCUCCUGAGCUUUUCCUGACCUUGUCUUAAGCCCCAGGGUGUCCUGUCUGGAGUCUGGGACCCUCUGCGCCGGUUCUUCAGCGAGUCUCUGAGCGCGGGGGUCUGCAGGUACCUUUUGGGUUCAGGCUCAAGUCAGUGCAACCCUGUCCCCACAGGACGCGGGGGACAGGGGUUGGCGUGUGUGUGCUGCUCUCCCCGCCAGGCACACACUCGAUCUACUUCUCCCAACGGAUCUUCCCUCCCAGAAACGUCUGCCAGGGGGCCAGGCCCCCCACCCCAACACAGCAGCGUCCCUAAUUGCCCCGUAUUAAUUGCCCGCCUCACCCGUGCAGCUGGGCGGGGCCUCCCCUGGGCCCGGAGCGCGUUAUUGGAAGGAAACUGAUUUCCCCAGUUUGGGAGAAUUCAGACUUGGGGGUUAACUUCUUGUGGUUUUCGAGCAUUUAUCAUUCAAAACAGGUUUCAUUCCCUCCCGGAGGGUUUUCUGUAAACAACUCAGAAGUCACCCCACAGCACCCGGGCUCCUGCCCAGCUGGGGUUCCUGACCUAGGGGACACCGCAGCACUACAGAGGCCCCAAGGGUUCGGGGCCUGAAACCUGGAGGGCUCAGGCUGCCCCGCCCCGCGGCUCUCGCGGAGCGCAGCCCGUCCGAAGGCCUCGCCCUCGCUCCUUUCCUUUUGUUUUUGAGUUUUAUUGAUGUAUAAUUUAUAUGCCGUAAAAUUCCCCCAGUUGUAAGGACAUAAUGAUUUUUUAGAAAAUUUACAGAGCUGUGCAACCAUCACCACAAUCCAGUUUUAGGUCAUUUUCAUCGCCGCCUCCUCCCCGCCCCGCCCCGGCCAUGUUCCUGGUGCCUCUGUGCGGUCAGUCCCAGCUCCCACCCCAGCCCCAGGCAACCGCCGACCUGCUCUCUUCCUCGGAGACCUGCUCUCCUUAUCUCUAGAUUUGCCUUUUCUACACACGUCAGGUAAAUGGAAUCACACGUUAUGUAGUUUUCUGUUUAUUUCUCUAUUUUUAUUUUUAUUAUUUUUAUUAUUUUUAAAGAUUUUAUUUUUCCUUUUUCUCCCCAAAGUCCCCCGGUACACAGUUGUAUAUCUUUUUUAGUUGUGGGUCCUUCCAGUCGUAGCACCCGGGACGCGGUCCCAGCACGGCCCGACGAGCGGCGCCACCUCUGCGCCCAGGACCCGAACCAGGGAAACCCUGGGCCGCCGAAGAGGAGCGUGCGAACCCAACCACUCGGCCACGGGGCCGGCCCUCUUUCUCUAUUUUUAAGAGAUCUAGCAUUUUAACACAAUUUUAAGUGUAAAUACAUUCUUGUUGAUGACAGAUGUUUGGUUUGUUUUACCUCGCAUCCUGUUUUUUAAGUUCCUCCUGUUGUAGCUUGUGUCAGUAGUCAAUUCCUUUUUAUUGCUGAAUAAUUUCUAUUGCAUGGACAUGCUACAAUUUGGUGAUCUAUUCACCCUUUAAAUGGCCACGUGGACCUGUGUUUGCAUUUUCUCACUAUCAUGAAGAAUGCUGCUGUGAAUGUUCAAGUCCAGAUCUUUAUGUGGAUGUGUUUUCAUUUCUCUUAGGCACAUGCCUAGGCGUGCAAUUGCUGGGUCAUGCAGCAAGUGUAAGAAACUGCCCAACUGUUUUCCAAAGUGGCCACACUAUUUUACGCUCUCACCCGCAAUGUGCAAGAGUUCCAGAUGCUCCACACGCUUGUCAACAGUUGGCAUGGUCAGUCUUUUUAAUUCUAGAUAUUCUAAUAGGCUUGUAGUGGUAUCUCAUUGGGGCUUUAAUUUGCAUUUCCCUAAUGACUAAUGAUGUUAAACGUCUUGUCAUGUGCUUAUCUGUAUAUCUUCUCCCGUGAAGGGUCUGUUCAAAUCUUUUGCCUCUUUUAAAAACUGGGUUGUGUGUCUUAUGAUUAAGUUCUAAGAAUUCUUGAUAUAUAUCGAUAUAUUCUGGGUAUAUGAUUUGAAAACAUUUUAUCUCAACCUGUGGCUUACUUUUCAUUUUAUUUGAAGUGAAAAUGUUUUUAAUUUUGACAAAAUACAAUUUAUCAAUUUUUUUCUUUUGUAGAAAAAAUAUCUAAGACCUCUUUGUCUAACCCAACAUCAUGAAGAUUACCUCCCAUGCUGAUUCUAGAAUUUACCUUCUUUUGCUCACCCCCUAUUUCCUAUGCCUGACAGUCCCUCCUCCUCCAUUCUUUCUCCUUCUAUUCAGGCACCCCACUUUUGUCCCCUUUCAGCAGUGUUUUUUUUUUUUCUUUUUUGAAUUCCCAAAUCAGAUCGCACUCCACGAGGGCAGGGCUGUUUCUGUGUUUGGUUCACUGACGAGUCCCAAGUGCCUGGAACACUGCCUGGCAUGCAGUAGACGGUCAGUAGAAAUAAGCGAGAUUCCGUCAUAUUGUUCUUGGGUGGCACCGCAUUGCACUUGGAGAAAAGUCCAACCUCAUUGUCCAGGCCUAUAAGAUCCAGCCUGAUCUGGCCCUGCCCAGCCUGCCCCCUUGCCUACUCCUCGCCUGCCACCCUGGUCUUCUCUCCAAUCCACAAAACUGCCAAGCUCAUUCCCAUAUGAGGGGCUUUGCUUUAUCUGUUCCCUCUGCCUGGAAUUCACUUCCCCCAGCACUCCUCAAGCCUGACUCCUUCUGUUGGUCAGAGCUCAACCUAAACAUCACCUCCUCUGAGAAGGCUUCCAUGAUUAUCUCAUCUCAAGCAGCCGCCCCAUCCCGCAUGUCCCAGCACACUGUCACAUCACUCUGUUUUCAUUGUCCACAGAGCACUUAGCUCCAAUCAGGCGUUUUCACAGUUUAUGUCUUCAUUUAGUGGCUGGUUGCCUUCCUGCCUCCAUGGGCCCCAGGACGGGAGCAGGGAGGAGAAUGGAGCUGUUGGCCCUCUAUGGCCAAGCCCGUCCUCCUUCAGGAGCUGUCCGUGGUUAUUCUGGCCCCUGAGGGUCUACUGUCCCCUGUCCCCCUGCAUUCUUUUCCCGCUGUGGUAACCUGUAAUGUUGCUGGCCCCCAAUGAACCAUUCGCUUCCUGGUGUUCAUGCCCUUGUGAGGUCUCAGUCCACAGUGACUCUGGGCUUGGCCACAUCACUUGUUCUGGCCAAUGAAAUAUUAGCAAGAGUGAUGGAAAUAGAGGUUUGAUAAGCUCUUGCCCAUUGGCCUAGCUGCCAUGCUGUGAGGAAGCCCAAGUCAGACAUGUGGAGAGGACAAGUAGAGGAGAACCAAAGUCCCUGGGAUGACGGCCCAAGCUGGCAGCCUGCUGAGCCCCAGCCGCCAGCCAACAGGAACCACAGCCACAUGGGGAAGCUGCCUUGGGGUUUCACCCCAGCUGAGCCUCCAGCCAACUGCAGCUGUAUAAUUGAUGUCAGCUGACACAACACAAAGCACAAGAACUGUCCAGUCAAUCCAGAGAGUUCUGAGAAAUAAAAAAUCAUUGCUGUUCAA